UUCCGAAACUAUAAGCACUAUACUGUUGAAACUUGGCAAGUAGAUGUAUUCUGUGAACCGCAUUAAGAUUUUCAUACAAAAAUAGAAAAAAAAACAAAAAAUUUUUAGGGUUCCCCAUACAUAGAACUGAAACUCAAAAAUUUUUUUUUCGUCAAACCCAUACGUGUGGGGUAGGUCUUCAAAAAUGUUAUUGAGGUUUCUAAUAUCAUUUUCUUCUAAACUGAAUAGUUUACGCGAGAGACACUUCCAAAGUGGUAAAAUGUGUGUCCCCCCCCCCUGUAACUUCUAAAAUAAGAGUAUGAUAAAACUAAAAAAAAUAUAUGAUGUACAUUACCAUGCAAACUUCCACCGAAAAUUGGUUUGAACAAGAUUUGGUAAGUAGUUUUUUUUUUAAUACGUCAUAAACCGUAAA